rnacentral:lncRNA from 1 species
AGGCAACAACAGUUCAUAACAUUGGUUUGUUUGAUUGACACAGCCUCUGGUACUUUCUCUGCCUGAGAAACAGGUCUUGAGGACUGCAGCUGGGCCAACUGCUGGAGGGACACUCCAAUUUCUCUCACGUUCUUGAGGAUGAAGUUGCCUAUGGAGGAGAAUGUGCACUAGGCAGCCGACUAUUUCCAGGCUUGGAAUUCCUUCUGUGACAUUGCUGAAACUGAUCAUCCACCCACGACUUGAACUUUUGCAGCUCUGGAGAACUUAUUACUUCAGGGAAAGCUGAGAUCUACAGUCUGAACUAGACCGAACACGGCUCUGGGCCUCAGGGCAAACGUACUACAAGAGAGAAGAAUGAAUAAAUAUUUCCUCAUUACAUUAGCUCCAUCCAAGUGUGCGGAUCUGGAUCCCCUGCAUCUAAGAUUACUUAAGACAAUGCUUUAAAUCACUCCAGGGAUGCUGCUAUCCUGUUAACCCUUUUUUGAGACUGAAGAAUGGCAGAUGACUGAGAAGUGAAAGGUAGAGAAGAAAAUCAACAGAAGCGAAGUUGACAGCAAAGAAAACAUUUCUGCCUAUGACAAUGUGUCUGGAACAUGAAGCAUUGACCUUGAAGCACUGGUCUAUUCAUUUGUGGAUGGUUUAAUCAAUGAGUCCUUUUAACAGCUGCGUCAUUUCUCAUUGAAAGAAAGUCCUGUGGACAUGGCAUAAGGGGUGGACUAUGGCAGCCAUGAGAUGUGCUUCACAGACUUCAGCUUCAGGGAGUGAAACAUCUGGGUACGGAUUGAUGAAGUGAUUUCACUCCCAAAUGGAGUCUAAGCUAAAAUAAAGCCUCUACCAUUUUGCAGAGCACAGCACUCUACAAGUUCAAAAGUCUACAAUUAUUUGGACACUCAUCGCUUAACAAAGGAUAUCCAGAUAGCAUCUCAGGACGUCUGAGAGACCCACGCGACUAUACAUCAGAAGGCAGACGGACUUCCCUCCGGGAGGAGGUGGAGAUAGGUGAAAACUCUCCGACCCCGACUGAACAGCCUAGUACCUGCAAGCGGCUUUCUUCCAACGGAUGCCCCCAGAAGAUCAACACACACCUAGG